CGCAAAUACAGAGGAAGCAGAAAGAGCGGAACGCUGCCUAAGCAUUAAGCAGUGAACUGCUCUCUGGCUGGUAGCUGCGGGGACUGACCACCCAGAUAAGUCGGCUAGUAGCCUUUACGACCUAACCGCCUGUUCUUCAGGAGCCCAGACACCUCACCGCAGCCACAAGACUGCAGGCCAAGAUCACGAAAAGGAGAAGAAACUCCAAUGAAGAUGAUAACCACCAUUCUCCACAUUCCAAAAGCAGUAAGAUUAACCUUGACUUGCAGGAGUCUCAGAAUGUAAAGAUUGCUGCCCUUCCAGUGGGAGAACCAGCAGUGUCUCCUGAAAUCCACACCAUGUUGGAACACAGGACUCUGGAAAGCCAAGCAAGCACCUCCCUUCCCUGGUAAGCAGUGGCAGUGUGGCAGACUGCAGCCCUUCCAGGGGGAGAACCAGCAGUGUCUCCUGAGAUCCAUGCCAUGUUGGAACUUAGGACUCUGGGAAGCCAAGCAAGCACCUCCCCUCCCUGGUAAGCGGAGGCAGUGUGGCAGACUGCAGCCCUUCCAGGAGGAGAACCAGCAGUGUCUCCUGAGAUCCACGCCAUGUUGAAACUUAGGACUUUGGUAAUCCAAGCAAGCACCUCGCCUCCCUGGUAAGCGGAGGCAGUGUGGCAGACUGCAGCCCUUCCCAGGAGAGAACCAGCAGUGUCUCCUGAGAUCCAUGCCAUUAUUGAAACUGAGGAUGCUGUGAAACCAAUAACCAUUCUGCCUCCCUGCUAAGCAAUAGUGAACCUACUGCUACAUGGCCUAGAGUCAAAUAUCCCACUUCCCCUAUCCUCUUUCUCCUCUCCCUCUGCCCAUUAGCAAAUGGGAACCAGAAAUCUGAGCAUCUCCUGGGAGGUAGACAAUAGCAAAUAAGGGGAACUUCCUUCUAGCAUUUCUUUGAAGGCAAAUUUUUUAUUACUGUUUUGCUGUUUUCUGAUUAAUGGUACUGCUCUAUUCAGUAUUCUGUUUUGAUAGGUUCUAUAGUGUUCUAUCUUUCAUCUCAUUUUGAUAUAUGUGAUUGAAAGAACAACUAUUGUAAAGAUAACAAAAUAAACUGUGAUACCUAUUACGAUUAUCCCAGUAACCUGCUGUGAAGUUCUGUACCAAUUUCACUGUAUGAUCUUAGUUGGCUUUAU